AGGCACAGCCUUUUCUCCGGCUGGCUGCCCGCUCCUUUGCAGAGUCCCGGCAAGCACACUGGCACUGGCAGGCCUCCUCUUGUUUGAUGAUGAUGACAGGAACGCUGAGGCCAAUCUGCUGGACAGAGCUCCCUGUGAGAGAGGCGAGAGAGACCUGCUCUUCAGUUGGCCAGGAGCAGAGGCAAGAUGGCUCGGGGAGUAUGGUCUAGGGAGAACUGACUGCUGAGGAGCCAGGCGUGAUAGGUGGGAAAGAUGCCAUGCUUUACACUGGACCAGGUUCUUCCUCAGGGAAAAAGCCUGUGACAGGUGUUCCCCCAUCCCUUCCUUCUUAGAAGAGCCACCCACACCCGAUGCACCCUGUCCCUCUCUGCUGCCCAUCUGUGCAGGCCACAGCAAAUGCCUUUCUUCUCAUCUUCAGAUUCUAGGCUCUCCCUUUUGCUUAAACUGGCGGGCAGACAGUGCUGUGCUUUGGAAGAAUUACUCUCCUUUCAAGGUCUAGCUGACUCUCUCUGCUCUCUUCCUGCCCCGGGGGGUGUUCCCUUCAGGCUGCGCACAUGACGAACCAGUGGCGGCCAGACUCAGCACCAGGCAAGUGCACACAGCACAGCAGCUGGCCUUCUGCAGCCCUCUCCACACUGCACAGGACCUGCUUUCUAAGGACCCCCAGCUCCUCAGGACCCUGUCUGACAUAUGGGAGAUGUCAGCUGAUCUCUUACACAGCCAGCCUGCAUAGAACCUGGCAAAUACUAGGCUCUCACAACACACUGACAUGGCAGCCAGGUGGUGCCCAGAGUCAAGACCAAAUGCAUUCUUAGAGAAGUCCUCUGGGGCCAGUGGUGUACUCAGUGGUGGAUUAUUAGCUCAGCAUGUGUAUGGCAAUGGGUCUGAUCCCUUGCACUGCAAAAAGAAAAGAAGAAAGAAAACAGAUCUGCUUCCCUGACACAUUCCUGGGCCUCUGGGGUCUGUUGACUGCUCUCCUGCACACGAGAGUCCAACCUUCAGAUGUUACACACAAGUUGAUGUGGUCUGCCAAUGCUGAGCCAAAUCACUGCCAUCCUGGGACACAUGCAGCCCAUAGGCCACAGGCUGGGAGUGUCUGUGUGGCACUAGAUGAUGUGAUUAGCUUUAGAAGAAAUGUUCGUUCAGGCAUCUUCACCAGGUGGUGGAACAUCACUGACUGACUCCGUGUCACCGUUCAAACUGUCAAUCAAGGCAGCUGGCAAGGAAAAGAAGAAGAAAUGUGCAUCCACAUCCCAAGCUUCAUGGACACCACAAAAACACUUCACUGCUAGCUGGUCCAGCUUCCUGAUCCAGCACACUUUAUAAAGACGGGUACUAAAGGAAAAUUAACUAGCAUGAAAGUAUCCUGUGCUGCUUCUGCAGAGAGAAGAGGCAAGCUUUCCGGCAUGAUUUGUCAGAAGACAUCUGGCAGGGGAAGCAGUCUUGAACAGGCAUUCCACUUCAGCAGUGUUGCCUACACGUCAGAAGCCUCAUUUGUGGGUCCCACCCACUCAUGAAUGGGGCAGCACAAGGAGGGAGAAACGGCCACAGCUCCUGCUGUGCCUUUAAAUCCAACAAGAGAUUGCAAAGGAGACCUUCCCUAUGCAUCCCAGGGAGUUGGGGAAAAGAUGGACUGACAGGUGAAAACAUACCGGUCUGCAGAGGAUCAUCUUGAAUUGCAGGGUCAUCUGAAUUCUGGAACAUUGAUUCAAAGAUGAUUGCUGGUGAAAUUGUGCUGAGGUCCUGGUCCUGUGUCUGACAGGGAGAAAGGUGAGAUGCGUCAUCCUGAGAAAGUCUGCCCCUUGACUAACAUAAACAAAGCAGGGGACCUAGAAUGACCUUCUGAUAGGAUUCCUGAUCCUCUCUCCCUUUUGUAGGGACUGGAGACUGAACACAGGGCCCUGCACACCUCAGGCAAGCAUUGCACUCCCGAGCUACAUCCCCAGUACCCAUAGUUUUUUUGUUUUGAGACAGGGUCUCAUUAAAUUGCUCAAGCUGGUACUUA